rnacentral:rRNA from 1 species
GACGAACGCUGGCGGCGUGCCUAAUCCAUGCAAGUCGAACGCUGAAGGAGGAGCUUGCUUCUCUGGAUGAGUUGCGAACGGGUGAGUAACGCGUAGGUAACCUGCCUGGUAGCGGGGGAUAACUAUUGGAAACGAUAGCUAAUACCGCAUAAGAGUAGAUGUCGCAUGACAUUUGCUUAAAAGGUGCAAUUGCAUCACUACCAGAUGGACCUGCGUUGUAUUAGCUAGUUGGUGAGGUAACGGCUCACCAAGGCAACGAUACAUAGCCGACCUGAGAGGGUGAUCGGCCACACUGGGACUGAGACACGGCCCAGACUCCUACGGGAGGCAGCAGUAGGGAAUCUUCGGCAAUGGACGGAAGUCUGACCGAGCAACGCCGCGUGAGUGAAGAAGGUUUUCGGAUCGUAAAGCUCUGUUGUAAGAGAAGAACGAGUGUGAGAGUGGAAAGUUCACACUGUGACGGUAUCUUACCAGAAAGGGACGGCUAACUACGUG